rnacentral:rRNA from 1 species
GACGCAACCCCUGUGUCCAGUUGCCAGCGCGCAAAAGGCGGGAACUCUGGACAGACUGCCCGUUCACACGGGAGGAAGGUGGGGAUGACGUCAAGUCAGUAUGGCCCUUACAUCCGGGGCUGCACACGUGCUACAAUGGCCGGCACAAAGGGGAGCUUGACCGCGAGGUUUGGCCAACCCCAAAACCGGCCCCAGUUCAGAUUGGGGUCUGCAACCCGACCCCAUGAAGUCGGAUUUGCUAGUAACGGCGCAUCAGCUACGGCGCCGUGAAUACGUUCCCGGGCCUU